UACGUAGGGGGCAAGCGUUACCCGGAUUUACUGGGUGUAAAGGGAGCGUAGACGGUAAUGCAAGUCUGGAGUGAAAACCCGGGGCUCAACCCCGGGACUGCUUUGGAAACUGUAUAACUGGAGUGCCGGAGAGGUAAGCGGAAUUCCUAGUGUAGCGGUGAAAUGCGUAGAUAUUAGGAGGAACACCAGUGGCGAAGGCGGCUUACUGGACGGUAACUGACGUUGAGGCUCGAAAGCGUGGGGAGCAAACAGG
rnacentral:rRNA from 1 species